UACGUAGGGUGCAAGCGUUAAUCGGAAUUACUGGGCGUAAAGCGUGCGCAGGCGGUUCUUUAAGACAGAUGUGAAAUCCCCGGGCUCAACCUGGGAACUGCAUUUGUGACUGUAGAGCUGGAGUGCGGCAGAGGGGGAUGGAAUUCCGCGUGUAGCAGUGAAAUGCGUAGAUAUGCGGAGGAACACCGAUGGCGAAGGCAAUCCCCUGGGCUGACACUGACGCUCAGGCACGAAAGCGUGGGGAGCAAACAGG
rnacentral:rRNA from 1 species